rnacentral:siRNA from 1 species
UAGAUUUCGUGGUGUGAACUC